CCUACGGGGGGCAGCAGUGGGGAAUAUUGCACAAUGGGGGAAACCCUGAUGCAGCGACGCCGCGUGAGUGAAGAAGUAUUUCGGUAUGUAAAGCUCUAUCAGCAGGGAAGAAAAUGACGGUACCUGACCAAGAAGCCCCGGCUAACUACGUGCCAGCAGCCGCGGUAAUACGUAGGGGGCAAGCGUUAUCCGGAUUUACUGGGUGUAAAGGGAGCGUAGACGGUUGUGCAAGUCAGAAGUGAAAGCACGGGGCUCAACUCCGGGACUGCUUUUGAAACUGUGAAACUGGAGUGCAGGAGAGGUAAGCGGAAUUCCUGGGGUAGCGGUGAAAUGCGUAGAUAUCAGGAGGAACACCAGUGGCGAAGGCGGCUUACUGGACUGUAACUGACGUUGAGGCUCGAAAGCGUGGGGAGCAAACAGGAUUAGAUACCCUAGUAGUC
rnacentral:rRNA from 1 species